AUUGAACGCUGGCGGCAUGCCUUACACAUGCAAGUCGAACGGCAGCACGGUAACUUGCACCUGGUAGCGAUGGGCGGAGGGGGGCGUAAUAGAUCGGAACAGGUCCUGUCGUGGGGGAUAGCGCGGCGAAAGCCGGAUUAAUACCACUUACGAACAACGCAUAAAAGCGGGGGCCCUGCGUGCCUCGCCCUUUAGGGUUGGCCGAUGCCGGUUUAGGUAGUUGGAGGGGUAAAGGCCCACGAAGGCGACGACCAGUAGCUGGUCUGAGUGGAUGAUCAGGCAGACUGGAACUGAGAGACGGUCCAGACUCCUACGGGAGGCAGCAGUGGGGAAUAUUGGACAAUGGGCGCAAGCCUGAUCCAGCCAUACCGCGUGGGUGAAGAAGGCCUUCGGGUUGUAAAGCCCUUUUGUUGGGAAAGAAAAGCAGCAGGUUAAUACCCCGCUGUUCUGACGGUACCCAAAGAAUAAGCACCGGCUAACUUCGUG
rnacentral:rRNA from 1 species